GACGAACGCUGGCGGCGUGCUUAACACAUGCAAGUCGAGCGGAAAGGCCCUUCGGGGUACUCGAGCGGCGAACGGGUGAGUAACACGUGGGUAACCUGCCCUUCACUCUGGGAUAACUCCGGGAAACCGGGGCUAAUACCGGAUACGACCACUUUAGGCAUCUUCGGUGGUGGAAAGUUUUUCGGUGGAGGAUGGACCCGCGGCCUAUCAGCUUGUUGGUGGGGUAAGUGCCUACCAAGGCGAGUGACGGGUAGCCGGCCUGAGAGGGCGGACCGG
rnacentral:rRNA from 1 species